GGAAUCUUGCGCAAUGGGCGAAAGCCUGACGCAGCAACGCCGCGUGCGGGAAGAAGGCUUUCGGGCUGUAAACCGCUUUCAGUAGGAACGAAACUGACGGUACCUACAGAAGAAGGAGCGGCCAACUAUGUGCCAGCAGCCGCGGUGACACAUAGGCUCCAAGCGUUGUCCGGAUUUAUUGGGCGUAAAGAGCUCGUAGGCGGUUGAGUAAGUCGGGUGUGAAAACUUUGGGCUUAACCCAAAGAUGCCACUCGAUACUGCUUUGACUUGAGUUCGGUAGGGGAGUGGGGAGUUCCUUGUGUAGCGGUGAACUGCGCAGAUAUAAGGAGGAACACCGGUGGCGAAGGCGCCACUCUGGGCCGAUACUGACGCUGAGGAGCGAAAGCGUGGGGAGCAAACAGGAUUAGAUACCCUGGUAGUCCACGCGGUAAACGGUGGUCACUAGGUGUGGGUCUCUUCAAACGAGAUCUGCGCCGUCGCUAACGCAUUAAGUGACCCGCCUGGGGAGUACGGUCGCAAGACUAAAACUCAAAUGAAUUGACGG
rnacentral:rRNA from 1 species